CCGCGGGCCCCGCCCCCAGCCGGAGACCGCUCGCCGGGAAGCCGGCCCUGCCCCAAGGGUCAGCGCCGCGCGGCCGCCGGGCAUCGCCGGGGCCCUGGCGAGCCGAGUCCCUGCUCUCCCGGCCUCGGUGCGACCCUCCGUCCUCGAGCUGGUCUGGCGGCAAGGGGUGACACGGGUUUUAGAGCCUGCCAGCCCCAGGAGAGGUGGACUGACUCACCGAGGCACGCUCAGUCUCUGCAAGAGCCCGGGCUCAAAUGCUGUACCCAGCAAUGCGCGGCCACAGACUGGCCCUGGGCCUAGGAUUCUGCCUGCUGUUGGGCGCUGCCCUCUGCCUGCUGUGGAUGUAUUUUGAGAACUGGCUGCGGGUCUCCUAUGUUCCCUAUUAUCUCCCCUGCCCAGAGAUCUUGUAAGUAUGGGGCUGGGAGAAUUUGGGGCCCUGUGGGCUGUCUGGCGUGGAGGCAGUGGGAGAGUUUUACGGUCAGUUUGCAGAUUAUUAGUUCCUAAGCUCAUGAGUCCGAUCAGUUUGAGAAGUAUUUGGGUAAUUUGUGGGCUGCCACAAAUAUGGAGUAAAAUUCCUAUUUCAGUCCUCCAGUGUCUUUGAGCGCCCCCUCCGUGGUUUGACCUUGAUCCUGCCACACGGCUCUGAGUCUCACUUGCUUCAUCUGUGACGUGGGCUGAUAGAGGUGUCGCUCCUGGCCGUCUGGAGCAUGCAGUGUGAGGACGUCUGUAUAGCCUCCUGUAGCAGGUGGCACAUAGGAGGUGCUCAGGAAACAGUGCUCUUAGGACCUGACCUUUUGGCUAAAUUUUGUGUUCAGUGAGGAUUCAAGGAACAAAUGAACAUGUGACCAGUCUUCCCCCACAUAAGGAACCUGAUGCUUUGACAGUUUAGAGUGGAAAAACAGGUUGGCACAGUCUCAAGGGGGUGUCUUCAUGAUAGCUAAAGGGAUGUUUACAAUCCGGAUCCUAGA